rnacentral:rRNA from 1 species
UAGGGAAUCUUCCGUAAUGGGCGAAAGCCUGACGGAGCAACGCCGCGUGAGUGAAGAAGGAUUUCGGUUCGUAAAGCUCUGUUGUUAGGGAAGAAUGAUUGUGUAGUAACUAUACACAGUAGAGACGGUACCUAACCAGAAAGCCACGGCUAACUACGUGCCAGCAGCCGCGGUAAUACGUAGGUGGCAAGCGUUGUCCGGAAUUAUUGGGCGUAAAGCGCGCGCAGGUGGUUUAAUAAGUCUGAUGUGAAAGCCCACGGCUCAACCGUGGAGGGUCAUUGGAAACUGUUAAACUUGAGUGCAGGAGAGAAAAGUGGAAUUCCUAGUGUAGCGGUGAAAUGCGUAGAGAUUAGGAGGAACACCAGUGGCGAAGGCGGCUUUUUGGCCUGUAACUGACACUGAGGCGCGAAAGCGUGGGGAGCAAACAGGAUUAGAUACCCUGGUAGUCCACGCCGUAAACGAUGAGUGCUAAGUGUUGGUCUCAUAAGAGAUCAGUGCUGCAGCUAACGCAUUAAGCACUCCGCCUGGGGAGUACGACCGCAAGGUUG